GUCCGCGGGCGCAAUAUCUCUGCGAAUGAGGGUUAGCUGCUUGCCGAAGGUACAGUACACGGGAUAAAAAGGAAAGCUGCAAAAAAACGGGAGGGAAAUACUUUCGGUAUUGACUGAGAGGCUUUAUUAGCCGUUGAUGCAUGUCAGAAAACAAAUUUUAACAUGCCGGUCCCGUGUUUUGCAGCAAACGGAAAAACUGCUACGGACCUGAGGCUGCGAUAGGCAGAGGAUAUUUAUUGAGAAUAAUUUGCAGACCAGGAUCCCAAUGCAAGUUCUCCAUUAAGCGGAGUGAUCAGGAUCUGAGUAUCAUUGACACUUAACAGUGAAAGGAAAGAGGUUUAACCAUUCUAUGCGUGGGAGAAUACUCCUGGACCUUUCGUGAUCUAAUCCCGUAACAGUGUGAGCUGCUACAAUGCACAUGCUAGUAAAAGCAUAAGAGGACAGAUGAGAUGAGUGCAUGGCUGGAGCUAUAACUUAAAAAGAUUUGGAUUCCUGAGGCAUUGAGACUGUUUGUUUGUUUCUGGGGAAGGUGGGACAUGCACAAGCUUGAACAAUUGUCCUGGGCAGAGCUGGGACAGAUAUUCUUGUUGAUGCUUUUGCUAGUUCCACUGGUGAGGAUUUAAACUCGUAUGACAGGGGAAUGGGAACCAAAGUAUACCUUUAGCAGUAAAAGACUCAAAUCAGCAAAUGGGACGUGAAAUUAGUUCAUGAUGUUGUCGGUGGCUGAAAGAUUAAAAGAAAGAAGGAUUAAUCAAGAUCAAAUCUCUUUUCAUACAUCAGUCCUGUGAUCCCAGGAAUUGGUCUGGUGAACCUUCUUUGCGAUCAUUCAGUAGCCAGACCAUCCUUCCUUUGGAAAGGAGAACAAAGGUGCACACUACUGCAGGUGUGGUCUCACCAAGGCCCUUAUAGAAAGACAUCCCUCCUCCUGUACUCGAAUCCUGUCACAAUGAAGGCCGAAAUAUCAUUUGCAUUCUUCACUACUUGCUGCUGCCUGUUUCCUAAAAGAGAAUAGGAGAGAAACACGGAACUAAAUGGGGUCAGACAGUCGGGUACAAUUGUUGAACACACUGUCCCCAUUGUAUCGGUGCUGGCCAUCAAGCACCUAUUUAAGCUAGGCCCGUUUUCUGGCACUCGGUGUGUAACCUAUAUUAUGGUGCAGUGGAUGAUCAUCUCAACACUUCUUCAAGAUUGCAAUGGUUCCUGCAUCUAUUAACAUUUCAGAUGCUGCCAGAUCUACUGUGUAUCUCCAUCUUUUUCUGUUUUUAUUCCAGAUUUCGGGUAUUUUGCUGUGUAUUCUUAGUCCUUCAGAAGCAUCAGAGGGUAUGGGGAGAAAACAGGAAUUGGAUUCAUUUUCAGAUGUAUAAAAUGCCUGCCCUUCAUGUCUGUCCAAACUCUAUCUCUUUUUGUAGUUUUGGGCAAACGCUGACUGUUUCCUUUCCCUGAAGGACAUUAAAUGAACCAGUUCAGUUUUACUGAUAAUCCAGCAGUGCCCCUCAGUGUUGCAUCCACAAUUGACCAGAUUAAUUUCUGAGUUUCACAAUCUUUGUGUGUGUUCUUCUGGUUUCUCUCUCUCUCUCUCUCUCUACUUUUCUUUUUUUUCUUCAGUUUGAAAUUUUGAUUGCAUUCAGAGAAAUCAAACAAAACCACAUCCAGAUCUGACACUCAAUCUGUUUGUCAUAACCUAAUUAUCUCAGGAUUUUGAACAUUAAAGGAAGAAGCACUGUUCACACCAGGGAGAAAUGCGUAUUGUCUGUGUGUCGAAGAGUCUUUGAAGAUUCAUCUGAAAUGCCCAAACACCAGCGCAGUCACACUUGGGAGAGACUGUGGAAAUGUGGGGAUUGUGGGAAGGGAUUUAUUUACCCAUCCCAGCUGGAAAUGCACCAACGCAGUCACACUGGGGAGAAACCGUUCAUUUGCUCUGAUUGUGGGCUGGGAUUCACUCAGUCAAGCAACCUGCUGAAACACCGAGUUCACAGUGGGGAGAGACUGUUCACAUGUUCCGAGUAUGGGAAGGGAUUUGCUCGCUCACUCAACCAACCUGCUGAGACACCAGCGAGUUCACUCUGGGGACAGACCAUUCACUUGUUCUAUGUGUGGAAAGGGAUUCACUCAAUCAUCCCAACUGUUAACACACCAGCAAGUUCACCACAACCACAUUUGAAGGAUUUUGCCCUUAAAUCAAGGAAUGAACUUUGAUCUUUGGGCUGUUUGUACUGGUGUCAUUAGUCCCUGCUCAAAACUUGAUCUUCUCUUGGGAAAUAAGGUAGGGCAGGUGACUGAGGGGUCAGCAGGGGCGAGAAUAUUUUGGGGCCUAUGAUUGUAUCUCUAUUAGUUUUAAAAUAAUUAUGGAAAAGGAUAGACUUUGGUCUAAGAGUCAAAGUUUUAAAUGAGACUAAGGCCAAUUUUGACACUACUAUGCUCCUUAAAAGCACAGUAAGACCGCCUAUGUGUGGGAAUGCACGAGUUGGGUGAGAUACAAAAAAGUAUUUUACAUCAGUAUUUACUGUGAUCAAGGAUACAAAAGCUAAAGAACUUAGAGAAAUGAAUGUGUAUCUUGAAAAGUUCCAUGUUGUGGAGGAGGUGGUGCUGGAUGCCUUACAGACCAUAAAGGUGGAUAAAUCCCCAGGACCUCUUCAGGUGUAUUCUCGAACUUUGCGGGAAGCUAGGCUUGCAAUUGGGCCCCUUGCUCAGAUAUUUGCACCAUUGACAGUCAUAGGUGAGCUGUUACACUGGAGGUUGGCUAAUCUGGUGCCAUUGUUUAAGAAAGGUGGUAACAGAAAACCAGGGAACAAUAAACUUUUGGUGAGCCUGACGUCAGCUGUGGGUAAGUUGUUGGAGGGAAUUCUGAGGGAUAGGAUUUACAUAUAUUUGGAAAGCGUGGACUGAAUGGGGAAUAGUCGACAUGGCUUUGUCCAUAGGAAAUUAUGUCUUACUAACUUGAUUGAGUUUUUUUGAAGAAGUUAGAAACAAGAUUGAUGGCAGAGCGGUGGAUGUUUUCGAUAUUCCGCAUGGUCGACUGAUUAACAAGGUUAGAUCACAUGGAAUCCAGGGAGAGCUGGCCAUUUGGAAAGGCGUUUGACCUGCAGUAUGCUGCAAGGAUUGGUACUUAGUAGCUAUAACUCGUACAUUCACAUCCAAAUCAUCUUUAUAAAUGACAAAAUGGAGUGGACCCAGCUCUGAUCCUUGCAGCACACCACUGGUCACAGGCCUCCAGUCUACAAAGCAACCCUCCACCAGCACUCCGUCUUCUACCUUCAAGUCAGAUCUGUUUCCAAAUGACUGGUUCUCUCUGUAUUCCAUGUGAUCUGACCUUGCUCAUCAGUCUACCAUGAGGAACCUUGUCAAACGCCUUAGUGACAUCCAUAUAGAAUACAUCCACCU